rnacentral:rRNA from 1 species
AUACGGGGGGGGCGAGCGUUGUUCGGAAUUACUGGGCGUAAAGGGCGCGUAGGCGGUCUGCUAAGUUGGAUGUGAAAACUCUGGGCUUAACCCAGAGCCUGCAUUCAAAACUGACAGGCUAGUGUUCUGGAGGGGAUAGCGGAAUUCCUGGUGUAGCGGUGAAAUGCGUAGAUAUCAGGAGGAACACCGGUGGCGAAGGCGGCUAUCUGGACAGAGUCUGACGCUGAGGCGCGAAAGCUAGGGGAGCAAACAGGA